rnacentral:rRNA from 1 species
AUUGAACGCUGGCGGCAGGCCUAACACAUGCAAGUCGAACGGUAACAGGAAGCGGCUUGCUGCUUCGCUGACGAGUGGCGGACGGGUGAGAAAUGUCUGGGAAGCUGCCUGAUGGAGGGGGAUAACUACUGGAAACGGUAGCUAAUACCGCAUAAUGUCGCAAGACCAAAGAGCGGGACCUUCGGGCCUCUUGCCAUCGGCUGUUCCCAGAUGGGCUUAGGUUGUUGGUGGGGUAACGGCUCACCAAGGGGACGGUCCCUAGCUGGUCUGAGAGGAGGACCCGCCACACCGGGAAUGAGACAAGGUCCCGACCCCUAAGGGAGGGAGGCGGGGGGAAUAUUGCACAAUGGGCGCAAGGCUGAUGCAGCCAUGGCGGGUGUAGGAAGAAGGCCUUCGGGUUGUAAAGUACUUUCAGCGGGGAGGAAGGGAGUAAAGUUAAUACCUUGGCUAAUUGACGUUACCCGAAGAAGAAGCACCGGCUAACUCCGUG